CGUUUGUGUUUUCAGCACCUUGGACAGCGGCCAAACAGAAGCGCACGCCGCUGAGUAAGUGCGAGAGGUUCUCCUGCUGCUGCACUGCCAUUGGUCAGAUUUUCCGAGGUCGUGUGACUCAUAACGGAGCCAGAAGGCAGAAACACAGUGAUGAGCUCAACCGUGACUGAACUGGGCUGAUCAGACAGACUGAGCUGCACCUGCAUCCCUGCGGUGGACACGUGUGACGUCACUGAGCUGAUGAAUGUGGAUUAAACACUGGCUGAUAUUAAACCACACAAGGGAAGAUGAGGCAGACACCCUUGGUUGUACCUGUAGUGGCCCAUUGGCUUCAACAAGCAAGACAUGGAGAGUUUCUGACAG